rnacentral:rRNA from 1 species
UGUGGGUUAGUCCGUCACGAGCGCACCCUAUCCUUAGUUGCUAGCAGGUAAUGCUGAGAACUCUAAGGAGACUGCCGGUGAUAAACCGGAGGAAGGUGGGGACGACGUCAAGUCAUCAUGGCCCUUACGUGUAGGGCUACACACGUGCUACAAUGGCGCAUACAGAGUGCUGCGAACUCGCGAGAGUAAGCGAAUCACUUAAAGUGCGUCGUAGUCCGGAUUGGAGUCUGCAACUCGACUCCAUGAAGUCGGAAUCGCUAGUAAUCGUAGAUCAGAAUGCUACGGUGAAUACGUUCCCGGGCCUUGUACACACCGCCCGUCACACCAUGGGAGUGGGAUGCAAAAGAAGUGGCUAGUUUAACCUUCGGGAGGACGGUCACCACUUUGUGUUUCAUGACUGGGGUGAAGUCGUAACAAGGUAACCCUAGGGGAACCUGGGGUUGGAUCACCUCCUU